UAACGCGGGAGGGAGUUGACGGGUAUUCGGGUCUCGGAUUCGUGUACCCUAAGAAUCCAUCGCCCACCCGAAAAUCUCCUCCAAUCCAUAAUUUGUGUGUUCUCCUCCUGCGUGUUUUGGUUUCUCGCUAGUUCUUUCCUCCCCUUCUUUCUCUUUCUCAACAUUGACUCGCUUACUGCUCGCAGGAGGGGGAAAAACACCAACCCCCCCGAACCCUACUACUACCCACUUCUUUAAUUUACAUAUAUCGUGUAGAGUUUCAUCUGCAAUAAUUUAAUUCAAUUUGAUAAUGGGCGAUCGGUGUUACGAGGAUUUGGAAAUUGCGUUAUCCUCAUAUUCCAAACGCUGCGUCGAUGAUUACGACGAGGAGGAAGAGGAAACGGAAGGGGAGUAUGAGGAUGAAUACGUCAACGAUGUCGAGAACGAACCGAAAUCGGACGAAUUGGCAUGUCCGUUUUGCUCCGAGGACUUUGAUGUUCUAGGAUUGUGCUGCCACAUUGAUGCCGAUCAUCGCAUGGAGGUUAAACCCGGGAUCUGUCCUGUUUGUGCUACGAAGGUGCGGAUAAACAUGGCUUCGCAUGUCAUUACGCAGCACGAGAACAUUUUAAGAGCUCUCUGCAAUAAGAAGCACCGUAGUGCUCGCUCUCGUUCAGCGAUAUUUCUGCUGAGAAAAGAUUUGCAGGAUAAACAUUUACGAUGUAUUAAGGAGUCUCCUUCUGCUGAAUCUUCCUCCAAUAAGGCAGCUGAUUCCAUGCUUUUGUCAUUUGUCAAUAAUCCAAGCCAUGCUUACAGGCCUCAAGCCAAUGAAUCUGCUUCCUUCACUGAACCAAGCUUAUCAACAGAAAAAUCUAAGGAUGAUUCUUUGGAGAGGUGAUUUAUGCAUUCACUAUGAGUGUGCUUGAGGAAUGACUUGGGGGCUGGGGGUGGUAUCGGUUGUUUGUUGGUAAAGGUUGCUUAUACGGCAUUUGAGUAAAUUUCAGAUGUCUUUUUCUGCUUCAAGAACAAUGCCUUGGAUGGCUGAACGUGAUCACAACCAACUCCACCAACAGACAGGAAUAAUGAGGGGGCCAGGAGGCGUGAAUUUUUACAGGGAUUAGUAUUGUCCACAAUUUUUGACGACUUAUGAGCGGCAGGAUUAGUGUAGCCAAUCACUGACAAAGAAGGCCAUGGUGUCUUGCUGAUGGAUUUAACCAAAAUGUCUGCACAUGCGAUUGAACGGGACCUGUUAGACAAAGCAGUUUCUCGACCCUAAUAUUGUCUUGGCCUGUUUUCAGUUGAGCCAUUAGUAUAUAUUGAUGAUAGAUACCUAAUGCAUUGUGAUGUAGGACGCUUAUCUGUUUUCAGGCCGUAGUGCUUUUAGUCCUUUGCGUUUUGGUUAAUCUAAUGUAUUUCCUUUGCUCAUUUCCUGUUUGUAAUUUGUGUACUUCAACUACGGACAAAGUAUUGCCGGGAUCAGUUGAUUGUCUACUCCAAUAAAAAGCAGAAACAGCAGUUUGAGUUCUACGCC